GAGUUUGAUCGUGGCUCAAGAUGAACGCUAGCGGCAGGCUUAAUACAUGCAAGUCGAGGGGCAGCAGGUCUGUAGCAAUACAGAUGCUGGCGACCGGCAAACGGGUGCGGAACACGUACUGAACCUUCCUUUAAGUGGGGAAUAGCCCAGGGAAACUUGGAUUAAUACCCCGUAACAUAAUGAAGUGGCAUCACUUUAUUAUUAUAGCUCCGGCGCUUGAAGAUGGCAGUGCGGCUGAUUAGGUAGUUGGCGGGGUAACGGCCCACCAAGCCUACGAUCAGUAACUGGUGUGAGAGCACGACCAGUCACACGGGCACUGAGACACGGCCCAGACUCCUACGGGAGGCAGCAGUGGGGAAUAUUGGACAAUGGGCGAAAGCCUGAUCCAGCAAUGCCGCGUGAGUGAUGAAGGCCCUAGGGUUGUAAAGCUCUUUUACCAGGGAUGAUAAUGACAGUACCUGGAGAAUAAGCUCCGGCUAACUCCGUGCCAGCCGCCGCCGU
rnacentral:rRNA from 1 species